AGAGUUUGAUCCUGGCUCAGAACGAACGCUUGCGGUGUGGAUAAGACAUGCAAGUCGAACGAGAGAAUUGCUAGCUUGCUAAUAAUUCUCUAGUGGCGCACGGGUGAGUAACACGUGAGUAACCUGCCCCCGAGAGCGGGAUAGCCCUGGGAAACUGGGAUUAAUACCGCAUAGUAUCGAAAGAUUAAAGCAGCAAUGCGCUUGGGGAUGGGCUCGCGGCCUAUUAGUUAGUUGGUGAGGUAACGGCUCACCAAGGCGAUGACGGGUAGCCGGUCUGAGAGGAUGUCCGGCCACACUGGAACUGAGACACGGUCCAGACACCUACGGGUGGCAGCAGUCGAGAAUCAUUCACAAUGGGGGAAACCCUGAUGGUGUGACGCCGCGUGGGGGAAUGAAGGUCUUCGGAUUGUAAACCCCUGUCAUGUGGGAGCAAAUUAAAAAGAUAGUACCACAAGAGGAAGAGACGGCUAACUCUGUGCCAGCAGCCGCGGUAAUACAGAGGUCUCAAGCGUUGUUCGGAAUCACUGGGCGUAAAGCGUGCGUAGGCUGUUUCGUAAGUCGUGUGUGAAAGGCGCGGGCUCAACCCGCGGACGGCACAUGAUACUGCGAGACUAGAGUAAUGGAGGGGGAACCGGAAUUCUCGGUGUAGCAGUGAAAUGCGUAGAUAUCGAGAGGAACACUCGUGGCGAAGGCGGGUUCCUGGACAUUAACUGACGCUGAGGCACGAAGGCCAGGGGAGCGAAAGGGAUUAGAUACCCCUGUAGUCCUGGCAGUAAACGGUGCACGCUUGGUGUGCGGGGAAUCGACCCCCUGCGUGCCGGAGCUAACGCGUUAAGCGUGCCGCCUGGGGAGUACGGUCGCAAGAUUAAAACUCAAAGAAAUUGACGGGGACCCGCACAAGCGGUGGAGUAUGUGGCUUAAUUCGAUGCAACGCGAAGAACCUUACCUGGGCUUGACAUGUAAUGAACAACAUGUGAAAGCAUGCGACUCUUCGGAGGCGUUACACAGGUGCUGCAUGGCCGUCGUCAGCUCGUGUCGUGAGAUGUUUGGUUAAGUCCAGCAACGAGCGCAACCCCUGUUGCCAGUUACCAGCACGUGAAGGUGGGGACUCUGGCGAGACUGCCCAGAUCAACUGGGAGGAAGGUGGGGACGACGUCAGGUCAGUAUGGCCCUUAUGCCCAGGGCUGCACACAUACUACAAUGCCCAGUACAGAGGGGGCCGAAGCCGCGAGGCGGAGGAAAUCCUGAAAACUGGGCCCAGUUCGGACUGUAGGCUGCAACCCGCAUACACGAAGCCGGAAUCGCUAGUAAUGGCGCAUCAGCUACGGCGCCGUGAAUACGUUCCCGGGUCUUGCACUAACCGCCCGUCA
rnacentral:rRNA from 1 species